AGUGAACGCUGGCGGUAGGCCUUACACAUGCAAGUCGAACGGCAGCACAGCAAGAGCUUGCUCUUACGGGUGGCGAGUGGCGGACGGGUGAGGAAUACAUCGGAAUCUACUUUUUCGUGGGGGAUAACGUAGGGAAACUUACGCUAAUACCGCAUACGACCUACGGGUGAAAGCAGGGGAUCUUCGGACCUUGCGCGAUUGAAUGAGCCGAUGUCGGAUUAGCUAGUUGGCGGGGUAAAGGCCCACCAAGGCGACGAUCCGUAGCUGGUCUGAGAGGAUGAUCAGCCACACUGGAACUGAGACACGGUCCAGACUCCUACGGGAGGCAGCAGUGGGGAAUAUUGGACAAUGGGCGCAAGCCUGAUCCAGCCAUACCGCGUGGGUGAAGAAGGCCUUCGGGUUGUAAAGCCCUUUUGUUGGGAAAGAAAAGCAGCAGGUUAAUACCCCGCUGUUCUGACGGUACCCAAAGAAUAAGCACCGGCUAACUUCGUG
rnacentral:rRNA from 1 species